CAGUCGCCACGGGAAUACGGAGGGAGCUAGCGUUGUUCGGAAUUACUGGGCGUAAAGCGCGCGUAGGCGGUUACUCAAGUCAGAGGUGAAAGCCCGGGGCUCAACCCCGGAACUGCCUUUGAAACUAGGUGACUAGAAUCUUGGAGAGGUCAGUGGAAUUCCGAGUGUAGAGGUGAAAUUCGUAGAUAUUCGGAAGAACACCAGUGGCGAAGGCGACUGACUGGACAAGUAUUGACGCUGAGGUGCGAAAGCGUGGGGAGCAAACAGGAUUAGAGAACCCGCGUAGUCCCUGUCUCUUAUA
rnacentral:rRNA from 1 species